rnacentral:snoRNA from 1 species
GAUCUCCAUGCUAAGAUCUCCACGUUUGUUCAGGGUCCGACUGAAACUUUCAAAGCUGCGUUGGAGAGGUUCAAGGGAUAUCAGAGAGACUGUCCACAUCACGGGUU